GACGAACGCUGGCGGCGUGCUUAACACAUGCAAGUCGAACGAAGAGCGAUGGAAGCUUGCUUCUAUCAAUCUUAGUGGCGAACGGGUGAGUAACGCGUAAUCAACCUGCCCUUCAGAGGGGGACAACAGUUGGAAACGACUGCUAAUACCGCAUACGAUCUAAUCUCGGCAUCGAGGAUAGAUGAAAGGUGGCCUCUACAUGUAAGCUAUCACUGAAGGAGGGGAUUGCGUCUGAUUAGCUAGUUGGAGGGGUAACGGCCCACCAAGGCGAUGAUCAGUAGCCGGUCUGAGAGGAUGAACGGCCACAUUGGGACUGAGACACGGCCCAGACUCCUACGGGAGGCAGCAGUGGGGAAUCUUCCGCAAUGGACGAAAGUCUGACGGAGCAACGCCGCGUGAGUGAUGACGGCCUUCGGGUUGUAAAGCUCUGUUAAUCGGGACGAAAGGCCUUCUUGCGAAUAGUGAGAAGGAUUGACGGUACCGGAAGAGAAAGCCACGGCUAACUACGUG
rnacentral:rRNA from 1 species